GUUAUGUGACAUCAAAACAUUAAAGAUGCAUACUUGAUGUGGUUCGCAAAAUCCAAAUAUUUGUUUAUGUAUCAUACACAAAGUCGUAUUCAUUCCGAGUCAUCAUAAAAGGCUGAAGUCGGUCUGCAUAACCAAAUGAAUCAUUGGCUUGAUUGUAAUCACAGUCAUCAUCACAAUAGCCAGAUUAUGGAAGAUCUCAGGGACAAUGGCCUUCAAUCUUCGUUGGGUACACAUAAUGACUGUCUACAUCAACGAAAUGAAUCUUAAAUUCCUAACAGAGCCAGUGAGUUCACAAAAUAUGAAUGGCCAAGCCCUUCUAUUGGUAUUGAAGUAGUUCAUAGUAAAUCAUUUAUGAAUGAACAUUUGAUGGAGUAUUGAAAUCAGUAGUAAAUGAUUAAUUGGACACUCCCAUCUCUGGAUGCUUCUCCUGUGCAACAUCGCUUGGAAGAUCAAGACCAGCAG
rnacentral:misc_RNA from 1 species